rnacentral:lncRNA from 10 species
CAACAAUGACGAAAAAGAGAAGAGGUUAAACAUUUGAGUCUACAGACAUUAAAACCAAAAACCUGACACUAAUUAAGCUAGUGCAAGAAGAAGAAGAAAAAGAAGAUGAAUCUUCCACCACACUGGAGAUAACCCAAGAAGUAAGAAAAACUGAUCUCUACCCAAAAAGGACAACAAUGGUGAAAGACUGCAUUUGCAACGGGGGUAAUAUACUCAGAGUUUAAAUUUCCGAAAGGACAAACAAAACAUGGAGAGUCUAAUGAGAUCUUCCAGCUGCUUCUCUCUGCUAAGGUAUUUCCCCUGGCAACAGCUAGGGAAGCUUGGGUGUAUUUUCCCCUUGCUGUGUCAUAUGAUGUUCCUU